rnacentral:rRNA from 1 species
GACGAACGCUGGCGGCGUGCUUAACACAUGCAAGUCGAACGGAAAGGCCCUGCUUUUGUGGGGUGCUCGAGUGGCGAACGGGUGAGUAACACGUGAGUGACCUGCCCUUGACUUUGGGAUAACUUCAGGAAACUGGGGCUAAUACCGGAUAGGAGCUCCUGCUGCAUGGUGGGGGUUGGAAAGUUUCGGCGGUUGGGGAUGGACUCGCGGCUUAUCAGCUUGUUGGUGGGGUAGUGGCUUACCAAGGCUUUGACGGGUAGCCGGCCUGAGAGGGUGACCGGCCACAUUGGGACUGAGAUACGGCCCAGACUCCUACGGGAGGCAGCAGUGGGGAAUAUUGCACAAUGGGCGGGAGCCUGAUGCAGCAACGCCGCGUGCGGGAUGACGGCCUUCGGGUUGUAAACCGCUUUCGCCUGUGACGAAGCGUGAGUGACGGUAAUGGGUAAAGAAGCACCGGCUAACUACGUG